rnacentral:rRNA from 1 species
CACGUAGGGCGCAAGCGUUGUCCGGAAUUAUUGGGCGGAAAGAGCUCGUAGGUGGUUUGUUACGUCUGCUGUGAAAACCUAGGGCUUAACCCUGGGCUUGCAGUGGAUACGGGCAGACUAGAGGUAGGUAGGGGAGAAUGGAAUUCCUGGUGUAGCGGUGAAAUGCGCAGAUAUCAGGAGGAACACCGGUGGCGAAGGCGGUUCUCUGGGCCUUACCUGACACUGAGGAGCGAAAGCGUGGGGAGCGAACAGG